GGGCGAUUAGCUCAGCUGGCUAGAGCGUCUGCUCGACACGCAGGAGGUCGCAGGUUCAAGUCCUGCAUCGCCCA
rnacentral:tRNA from 1 species